CAAUAGCGUAUAUUUAAGUUGCUGCAGUUAAAAAGCUCGUAGUUGGAUUUCGGGUGGGAAUGGCCGGUCCGCCGUUUCGGUGUGCACUUGCUACGCCCACCUUGCUGCCGGGGACGUGCUCUUGAGUUCACGCUCGGGACACGGAGUCGGCGAGGUUACUUUGAGUAAAUUAGAGUGUUCAAAGCAGGCAUCGCCGUUGAAUACAUUAGCAUGGAAUAAUAAGAUAAGACUUUGGUGGUCUAUUUUGUUGGUUUGCACGCCAAAGUAAUGAUUAAUAGGGAUAGUUGGGGGUAUUCGUAUUCUAUUGCUAGAGGUGAAAUUCUUAAAUUUAUGGAAGACGAACUACUGCGAAAGCAUUUACCAAGGAUGUUUUCAUUAA
rnacentral:rRNA from 1 species